rnacentral:rRNA from 1 species
GGGUCAGUAGGUUGGUCGUGCCACCGGUACGUACUGGACUCACUGAUUCCUCCUUCCUGAAGAACCGUAAUGCCAUUAAUUUGGUGUUGCGGGGAAACAGGACUGUUACUUUGAAAAAAUUAGAGUGUUUAAAGCAAGCUAACGCUUGAAUACAUUAGCAUGGAACAAUGAAAUAGGACGAUCGAUCCUAUUUUGUUGGUUUCUAGGAUUGACGUA